AUUGAACGCUGGCGGCAUGCCUUACACAUGCAAGUCGAACGGCAGCGCGGGGCAACCUGGCGGCGAGUGGCGAACGGGUGAGUAAAAUAUCGGAACAUACCCUAGAGUGGGGGAUAACGUAGCGAAAGUUACGCUAAUACCGCAUACGCACUAAGGUGGAAAGUGGGGGAUCUUCGGACCUCAUGCUCAUGGAGUGGCCGAUAUCUGAUUAGCUAGUUGGUGAGGUAAAGGCUCACCAAGGCGACGAUCAGUAGCUGGUUUGAGAGAACGACCAGCCACACUGGAACUGAGACACGGUCCAGACUCCUACGGGAGGCAGCAGUGGGGGAAUUUUGGACAAUGGGGGCGAACCCUGAUCCAGCAAUGCU
rnacentral:rRNA from 1 species